rnacentral:rRNA from 1 species
GACGAACGCUGGCGGCGUGCCUAAUACAUGCAAGUAGAACGCUGAAGGAGGAGCUUGCUUCUCUGGAUGAGUUGCGAACGGGUGAGUAACGCGUAGGUAACCUGCCUGGUAGCGGGGGAUAACUAUUGGAAACGAUAGCUAAUACCGCAUAAUAGUAGAUGUUGCAUGACAUUUGCUUAAAAGGUGCAAUUGCAUCACUACCAGAUGGACCUGCGUUGUAUUAGCUAGUUGGUGGGGUAACGGCUCACAAAGGCGACGAUACAUAGCCGACCUGAGAGGGUGAUCGGCCACACUGGGACUGAGACACGGCCCAGACUCCUACGGGAGGCAGCAGUAGGGAAUCUUCGGCAAUGGACGGAAGUCUGACCGAGCAACGCCGCGUGAGUGAAGAAGGGUUUCGGAUCGUAAAGCUCUGUUGUAAGAGAAGAACGAGUGUGAGAGUGGAAAGUUCACACUGUGACGGUAUCUUAACAGAAAGGGACGGCUAACUACGUG